UUUAGGGGGUCCAGCCUGCCCUCACCCGUGGCCCUUCCAGCGCCGAGCUCCGCCCAACACGCCCCUCAUAAGGCGCGGGGCAUGAAGGCUCAGACCUUGCUCUUUAUGUGGCGCAGAACGAGCGUGCAGGACCAACACUUUUGAUGGCUCUAUAAUCUCAUCCAUAGAAUUUGAUUUGGAAGAUCUGUGAGGACUUGAAUAUUUCACCAUAUUGGAAACGUGACUAUCUCUAUUCAUUGAUGGGUAUUUUUCAUUCUUUUUAUGGAAUGCUCGGCUUCAACUAUAAGGGUUGUUUCAGAAGGUAUGUAACACUGUUCAGAGUUGGUUCACUAAAGCAACAUAUGUAUUCUUUAAAUAGGUAAGAUAUUUUGUUUAAAAAUUUACUAUGCAUGGUAAUUUAUAUAGGAAAAAUUACAAUCAUAAUUUAUAUCUUCUGAUCACAAUAGAAUAGAAUUUAUCAUUGGAAAAUGAACAUUACAAGUAUGAUUUUUCAUGUAUAAAAUAUAUGAAUAUUUGUGAUUACUAAUAGCAUAUUUUUCUUAAUAUGUAAU